CCUACGGGAGGCUGCAGUGAGGAAUAUUGGUCAAUGGUCGGGAGACUGAACCAGCCAAGCCGCGUGAGGGAUGAAGGUACAGAGUAUCGUAAACCUCUUUUGUCAGGGAACAAAGGCGGGGACGUGUCCCCGGAUGAGUGUACCUGAAGAAAAAGCAUCGGCUAACUCCGUGCCAGCAGCCGCGGUAAUACGGAGGAUGCGCGCGUUAUCCGGAUUUAUUGGGUUUAAAGGGUGCGCAGGCGGUCUGUUAAGUCAGCGGUCAAACCCCGGGGCUCACCCCCGGCCCGCCGUUGAAACUGGCAGUCUCGAGUUGGAGAGAAGUAUGCGGAAUGCGCGGUGUAGCGGUGAAAUGCAUAGAUAUCGCGCAGAACUCCGAUUGCGAAGGCAGCAUGCCGGCUCCACACUGACGCUGAGGCACGAAAGCGUGGGUAUCGAACAGGAUUAGAUACCCGGGUAGUC
rnacentral:rRNA from 1 species